GCUCCUACGGGGCGCAGCAGUGAGGAAUAUUGGUCAAUGGGAGAGAUCCUGAACCAGCCAAGCCGCGUGAGGGAAGAAGGUCUUCGGAUUGUAAAGCUCUUUCGGACGUGACGAUGAUGACGGUAGCGUCUAAAGAAGCACCGGCAAACUUCGUGCCAGCAGCCGCGGUAAUACGAAGGGUGCGAGCGUUGUUCGGAAUUACUGGGCGUAAAGGGAGUGUAGGCGGAUAUGUAAGAUAGCGGUGAAAUGCCGGGGCUCAACCCCGGAACUGCCAUUAUGACUAUGUAUCUAGAGUAAUGGAGAGG
rnacentral:rRNA from 1 species